GAUUUCCUCAUCGACUCGAGAAGUUUCAGGAACUUUGCACCCCGCAUCUAAAAAACACACCCGAAUAACUUCCAUUCCUUCGUGAUGUUUCGUAAUCAUUCCAAAAACUUUUAUAGUUUCGCCCCAGAAAUCCCAUCAAAGAAGAAAGUUUGCAGUAUCACUCAUUUGCAUUUCCAAAAGGUUAAGACAAGGGACAAAGAUGGCCGCAGCCAAUAUGCGUGGAAUGACUGCAUUUCCUGUUAAAAACAUUCUCAAACAAAUCCAUCCCAUGAAAGGAACAUUGGGAAUCUUAACUACAGCCCCAAAGAAACAAGGAGAAAAUAACAUUGAGGGCGGGCCCAUCACGGAUGACAAAGCUGAACCCAUUGUUGCCUUCAACAAGCCGCUGCCGCCACCAGUUCUCGGUCCUUUUGUCGUCCUCUCAUUGCUGGAAAUGGGAUCAGACCAUGAUGGAAAGGAUGACUGAGUGGUACUGAAUUCUCGUUGCUGUUACUUGAAAUAGGGCAGAGCGAUGCUCAUAAUAUUCUAGCAUAAUGUUGAGUAGUUUCACUUGAACAACUUAAAAAUAUUUAGUAGUAUGUUGAAAACGCAGCCAAACAAGCGGGCCACAAAUUUCCAUAGGUGGGUGUAAUACACCAAAACUGGAAGGAUCAUAGGCUCAACCAAUAUCUUGUAAAUUUUCAAUAGAAACUUAAGUACUAUAUGAGGUUUUUGAAGGAAUCCUGCCACAGAAAAAGCAGAAGCUGUCACUUACAUAUCACAAGGGCCUUGCAUAAGAUACUAAGUAGUGAAAUGUUGAAAGCAACAUACUCUCUGUCAAAUUCGGAAAUUGGUCAAAUACAGAACUGACCACCGACAACAGUUUCUGAAAUUCUCAAAUGGCAGCCCAAAUCAGCAGACAGAAUUUAAAAAUCUAAAUUAUCUUUAACUUGGAAAUUUGAGCACAAGAAACGGAGUUUCAAAGUAAAAUGAUGAUGAUUGAUUUUCAUGGCCUACAUCUCUCUUUCUUAGACUGAUAAUUGCAAUCCAUUUGACAAUGCACCAAAUCACAUGUUUGUUUUUCUUAAUUGAUUUGCAAUUACGAUACCUUGGAUUGGCAUCAAACCAUGCAUUGUUUCUGUAUUUAGGCCAUGUUUGGAUUUACAGGUGAAUUGAAUCAAUUCGCAAUCAAGAGGAAAUGUAAGAAAGAAAUUUAUGAUUCUUCCUUUUUUAUUGGAUCCAAUUUGAUAUUGCAUCCAAACAUCAAAGCUUUAAAUCGUAAUCCGGAGUUAUCAAUUUAUCAAUUUAUUGAAAAUUCUAGCUUCACCAGCCGCCACGAGUUUUCUAUAUAUAAAUGAAGUGCAACUUUAGUUAUCUUUCAGGUCUCUAUUGCAGCUUUUUAGGAAUUAUAAGAUCGUGUGACUGAUGAGUCCUUAGAAACAUGAUCCCCACCAGAUAAACCGAACAUGAAGCAUGAUGUUCGCUUUUGAUUUUGAAGUUCCCAACAGCCCAUCUAAAGGUGAUUGAUGCUUCGCGAGAGGGGUCCUUGGGCAAAGAUCCUAUAGUUCCAGUUUGAACGAAAUAAGAGGUAUUUUACCAGCAGAAAUACUCCUGGCUUCACCGGCGAUUCAAUCACAACCCGAGCUUUCCUGCAUGCAUGCAACAGUUCUUAAUCAGUGACCCGAAAAUUCAAGACAUAAAUGGCGAGAAGAAAAGAAUGAGGAGAAUCUCCCAC